rfam:Pongo abelii chromosome 4.
GGGGGGAUAGCUCAGAGGUAGAGCAUUAGACUUCAGAUCAAGAAUAAAUCCCUAUUCCACCCU